GGGUGCAUCGUCUAUGGAGGACGCCGGCAAGCGCGUGGCCACGCGCCCCGGAAGUGUGGGUUCGAUUCCCGCUGCACGCCCC
rnacentral:tRNA from 1 species